rnacentral:rRNA from 1 species
UUGCCUCCGGGGCGACCCUGCCUUCGGGCGGGGGCUCCGGGUGGACACUUCAAACUCUUGCGUAACUUUGCAGUCUGAGUAAACUUAAUUAAUAAAUUAAAACUUUUAACAACGGAUCUCUUGGUUCUGGCAUCGAUGAAGAACGCAGCGAAAUGCGAUAAGUAAUGUGAAUUGCAGAAUUCAGUGAAUCAUCGAAUCUUUGAACGCACAUUGCGCCCCCUGGUAUUCCGGGGGGCAUGCCUGUUCGAGCGUCAUUUCACCACUCAAGCCUCGCUUGGUAUUGGGCAACGCGGUCCGCCGCGUGCCUCAAAUCGUCCGGCUGGGUCUUCUGUCCCCUAAGCGUUGUGGAAACUAUUCGCUAAAGGGUGUUCGGGAGGCUACGCCGUAAAACAACCCCAUUUCUAAGGUUGACCUCGGAUCAGGUAGGGAUACCCGCUGAACUUAAGCAUAUCAAUAAGCGGAGGAAAAGAAACCAACAGGGAUUGCUCUAGUAACGGCGAGUGAAGCAGCAAUAGCUCAAAUUUGAAAUCUGGCGUCUUCGACGUCCGAGUUGUAAUUUGUAGAGGAUGCUUCUGAGUGGCCACCGACCUAAGUUCCUUGGAACAGGACGUCAUAGAGGGUGAGAAUCCCGUAUGCGGUCGGAAAGGCGCUCUAUACGUAGCUCCUUCGACGAGUCGAGUUGUUUGGGAAUGCAGCUCUAAAUGGGAGGUAAAUUUCUUCUAAAGCUAAAUAUUGGCCAGAGACCGAUAGCGCACAAGUAGAGUGAUCGAAAGAUGAAAAGCACUUUGGAAAGAGAGUUAAAAAGCACGUGAAAUUGUUAAAAGGGAAGGGAUUGCAACCAGACUUGCUCGCGGUGUUCCGCCGGUCUUCUGACCGGUCUACUCGCCGCGUUGCAGGCCAGCAUCGUCUGGUGCCGCUGGAUAAGACUUGAGGAAUGUAGCUCCCUCGGG